UUAUAGAAUAAGGGGCUCCUCCUCCUUUACAAAGUAUGGGCUUUAGUGUGAGGCCUAAAUACAAGGCCCAAGGCCCAAAUAUACGAGGCCCUAAAUAUGGUAUAAACAAAGAUCAUCUCUUCAAACAAUCAAUUAAAACUAAUAUCAUUUAGUCAAAUCCUUAAAGAAUUCCGAUCAUAAGUAUGAAACUAUGUGAACAAAUCAUGAGGUAUUUUAAGAGGAAGUUCCUCCUUAAUCGUUGAGGAAUAAAGUCUUUCUCUAUAAGAAUUUUAUUUUCUUAUUUUUUAGAUGAUUUUUUUUGUUUUAUCCCUCAACUUAACGAAAACGUUAACGGAGUUAAUGUAAAGGACUACUAGUGCAACAAAUGACAUAAUUCAAGAACAAGAGAAACUAUUAGUAGAGUUCAGAGAUGAAAACUAAAUUCGUGGUAUAGAUUAGGGACCUAUUCUAAGAUUUAGAUUUCCAAUAUAAAAUUGGUAAUUGAAUCUUAAAGUUGAAAUGCAGGAUUUCAAACGUGGUUAUCACAAAGACCUAAGUUUUUUUUUUUUUCUUUUGCUACUUAGUACUACAGUCUAAUGGUAUUCCUCUUCACUUAUAAGUGAGAGGUUUUAGGUUUGAUUUUCGCCAAAGACGAAUUUAAACCAUAUUAUUGUUAGUUCAUUGUGAGACUAAGUUUACCCCUAAUGUAGGUAAUGUUGUUUGUUAAAAUAAAAAAAAAUAAUAAAAAAAAUAAGAGUAUUUUUUUCUAACAAAGUCGAUUGGUUGCAAUGACUAAAAUAUCGAUAUCGCCGAUAUUAUCGUUUUUCAGAAAGACCGAUAUUUUCCAACGUAUC
rnacentral:lncRNA from 1 species